CCCUUAGAUGUUCUGGGCCGCACGCGCGCUACACUGAUGCAUUCAACGAGUCUAAAACCUGCUCUGAUAGGGGUGGGUAAUCUUUUGAAUGUGCAUCGUGAUUGGGAUAGAUGAUUGCAAUUUUUCAUCUUCAACGAGGAAUGCCUAGUAAACGCAAGUCAUCAGCUUGCAUUAAUUACGUCCCUGCCCUUUGUACACACCGCCCGUCGCUCCUACCGAUUGAAUGAUCCGAUGAAUAUCAUGGAUUGAGGAUGCAAGCAGGUUCGCCUGUCUUCAUCUUCGAGAAGUGAAGUAAAUCUUAUCAUUUAGAGGAAGGAGAAGUCGUAACA
rnacentral:rRNA from 1 species